UGGAAAACGGAAUUCAUCCGAAAUGCAAAUCCAGCCAAUCACGUCGCAGCAUUAGAUCGAUCCUCUCUCCACCACGAAUUUAGAUACUCUCUCCCCAUCACUCGUGUCGCCAAAUUUCACCAAUUUCCCCCAGUAACGUCACGUGACUCGGGCCCCACCCCUUUCCCUUCCAGAAGCCCAACUCUUCUCUGCCUCACUCUGUAAAGCUCUCUCUCUCUCUCUCACUCUUCGGAGGGAAGGCUCUGCAUGUUGGAAGUUUGGUUGAUGUUUACUUUGUGAAGCUUCUGGCGAUGUGUGGACGAAACUCUGUGCGUGUCUCUGAUUGCGGUUUCGGUUUCGGUUUUGUGGUUAAUUGUGGCUUCUUCAGAGAUGUUUGAUUGGAACGACGAGGAGGAAGAGUUCCUUGGUGGAGUGAAAGCAAGGUGAAGAAACAAGAAUCGGGCUGAACUAGGAUUCUAUAUAAUGAACUGAAGACCUGAGAAGUAACAUUUUUUGAAAUGAUGUUGCAACUUGGAUAUGUAGCACUAAGUGGAAUUAUAGAGGCGACAUUGAGCUCUGGGGGUUAUUUAGAGUUCUAAUAAAAAAUGUGGUUCUUUAUGGUUUCUAUACUGUAACUAGGAAAUAUGAGAGUGAAGAAGGUAUAAGGAAAGUUACAAGUUAUACUGUAUGUGUAACCCAAAAAAGGUAGUAGUGGAAUCUCGUCUUGAAAGCUAUAGAUCACACUGUCCCGAAUUCAAUUA